GGGUGCCUGGAAGACCUGGCAGGGGCAGACAGAGGGCAGGGAAGAGAAGGUGGGGAGGCUUCUGUGGCGUCCGGCCAUUGUGCUCACAGCUCCCCAGUGACUGAGCUGGCCACACAGACAGGCAGCCCACCUUCCUAUUUCCCAGGGUGAGGGGGUGGUUUGAGGGGGUUCCUCCUGAGAAAACCUUCAGUGGCAGAAGCAGCAAUAGCAACAAAAACCUUCACCAGCAAAACCUCUAUUUAGCCAUUUCCAUUAAACAUGCCGCAUCUGUAUGUAGCAAGACUCAGCAAGUGCUUAGAACUCAAGUUCUCGGUAAAGGGGUUAAAAGCACAUUGGCCCUAAGCGUUCCUCGCUUGGUGGCAUCCACUGUGUGCAGGUGCUAGGCCAGAGUCCCAGGGAGGACCCAGGGUCCAGCAGGGACAGAUGUGAGUUCCAAGUGCAGGUGUGUGCCAGAGGCAGACACACUGGGCUGCAGGAACACAGAGGGGAGCCCUGGAUCCUUCUCUCUGCACCUCCCACCCCCAGGAAUGCCCAAAGGGCAGAAGAAACAGCAGGUGUGAAGGCUUAGCAGGCAGGAGAACACCAGGCCUGCUCAGGAGCUGCGGUAAAGAAAGAUCAAGGAGCUCCUUAGAAGGUCAGUCCUAUCAAGACCAUAUGAGCACCGUGUGGAGAAAAAGAGAGGCCAUGGUCCUUGCCUUCGACAUGUAAUAAGAACUCAAAGAAUGGGGCACCGUGCGUUCAAGGAGGUCAUGAAGUGAACGUGCCACCCGCCAGGUUCCAGGGAAGAGAUGCCCGCUCCCUCUGGCGCCUAACCCAAAGCAUAGCCAGGAAGAAGAGGGCAGCCUGUGGAGAAGUGCAUCACUGGACAUGCCAGUGGGUGGUAGAGACUGGAGGGCAGUCAACAGCAUGCCAGAAACAGAAUGAGGAGCAGUGCCUGGGCCAGAAGUUGGCGGUGGGCUGCAAGGUGUGGUGAGGACUAAUGGGGCAAGGGGUUGACUGCAUUUAUCAAUGAAGGUAUGAAAGACUUAAUUAAAUAACGACUCAUAAAUAUUCAGCUCAGCCAAGCUGAGCCCCACAAUGAUGGAUGUCAGGGACUAAAAGGCUUUCAAGGGGAGGACUCUGCAGAGAUGUGGGCCCCCAAACGUGUCAGAACGGAAAGGGUACACUGCCCACAGCUUCCGCUGGCUCAUGACACAUCAUUCCCUCGUACCCAUCCUGCAAGCCAAAUGCACUUUAAGGCAAGCGGUCUGGCUCCCUGAGGAAGAGACUUCUCCAUCAGGACCCUGGAAUUUGUAGCUCAGUGAUCCCCUUUAUCCAUGGUUCCGCUUUCUGUGGUUUCAGUUACCUGCGCCCAACCAGUCUGAAAAUGCUAAAUGGAAAAUGCCAGAAAUAAACAAUUUCUAAGUUGUAAA